rnacentral:misc_RNA from 1 species
GAUGAAGAACGCAGCGAAAUGCGAUACGUAGUGUGAAUUGCAGAAUUCAGUGAAUCAUCGAAUCUUUGAACGCACAUUGCGCCCUCUGGUAUUCCGGGGGGCAUGCCUGUUCGAGCGUCAUUAUAACCACUCAAGCUCUCGCUUGGUAUUGGGGUUCGCGGUUCCGCGGCCCCUAAAAUCAGUGGCGGUGCCUGUCGGCUCUACGCGUAGUAAUACUCCUCGCGAUUGAGUCCGGUAGGUCUACUUGCCAGCAACCCCCAAUUUUUACAGGUUGACCUCGGAUCAGGUAGGGAUACCCGCUGAACUUAAGCAUAUCAAUAAGCGGAGGA